AAACAUGUGUCAGUUAUGUUAGGGUAAAAUCAGCAAAGUAGAUAUACCCAAUUGUGAGUCUCUUCCUCUAGAUUUCUCUGAUUUAACAACAAAAUCAGCCCUUCUCCUCUUAGUCUGCUAUUGGUAUUAUUUGGACGUAAUCUUGGAGUUUUCUUCUCAAGGAUGCGGUGGGUACGCUGGUUGGGUUCUGGUGAGGAAGUGAAUAAAGGUGGUGCUAUAUGUCUGCCCAGCCACAAAACACAUUUGUGUUAAAAGAAAGGACUCCAAAUUUCCCUCAGUACUGCUCAUCGCUCAUCAAACCUGCUGGUCUAUUGGUUUGGCUCUUUUCAACUGCUGUUUAUAUUAAAAAACACAUUCUUAGAGUGUUCUUCUCAUCAAGGAGAUACCAUUGCAAUUUUAAGGGCAGAGUUGAAAAGUCAAAGGAAACAUGUCAAAAAUUUUAAAAAGAAAUCCCUCUGGUCCAAGAUAUUAGAAGAGGUAACAGAGAAGCUUGUGGACAUUGUGCAUUUCCUUCAUUUGGAAAUCCAUGCUGCAUUUGGCUGUGCUGAUGGAGAGAAAUCUAUGAAAAACAACAACCAGAGGCCAGAGAUCUCAUUUUGAGGUUGAUGGAAGAGAGAGAUUCCAUUCUUCGACAAAAUGCCAAGCUCAACCGAGACCUGUGUCUUGGGAUGAUAGAACUAUAGUUGUGGUCCUAGCUUUGCUUUUACGAGUGAUCAGCAGGGAGGAGCAACAAGAUUUGCAGAAACUUUUUGAAGAAGAUGAGGUCUUGAAAGGCCUCAAGGCACCAGGUCCGGAUGGGUAUCAGUUUCUUCGUGAAAUGUUGGGAGAUUUUAAAGGAGGAUGUGAUGGCUACUAUCCAGAACUUCCAUUCUCAGGAAGUUUUUGAAAAGAGCCUUAAUGCAACUUACAUUGCACUCAUUCCAAAGAAGAAUGGAGCCAAAGAAUUGAGAGAUUUUAGACCAAUCAGUCUCAUUGGAAGUGUCUACAAGCUAAUUUCCAAAAUUCUUAUAGAAUGGCUAAAGAAGGUGAUGCCAAAGCUGGUCGACACUCAACAAAUGGCCUUUCUGAAAGGAAGACAGAUCACUGAUGUUGUUCUCAUUGCAAAUGAAUGUCUUUACUCAAGAGUGAAGGCAUAUGACCAUGUUAACUGGGAGUAUUUGCUUGGAAUUCUACAUAGUAUGGGUUUCGGGAGGAAGUGGAUUAGAUGGAUAAGGUUUUGCAUUAGCAUUGUCAAGUUCUCAAUACUGAUAAAUGGUUCUCCUGAAGGUUUCUUUCCGGCAAGCAGAGGCUUGAGACAAGGUGAUCCACUCUCACCUUUCUUAUUUUUGCUAGUCAUGGAAGGCCUGAACAAUAUGAUUAAAACAGCGCAUAGGAAUGAUUGGAUAAGGGGUUUUAAUGUGGUCAAAGAGGUGAAUACUAGAUUGGAAAUCAUCCAUCUGCAAUAUGUAGAUGACACUUUGAAUUUUUGUGAUGCAGAAGACGGCCAACAAAAAAUUUGAGGAUAGUUCUCAUACUAUUUGAGUCAGUAUCAGGGUUGGACACUAAUUGGAGAAAGAGACAUCUUUCCAAUCAAUGAUGUGCCCAAGAUACAAAAUCUGGUGGAUAUUUUGGGUGGAGAAAUAGGACAGUUACCAGCAACAUACUUGGGUAUGCCUUUGGGUGCCAAAAGCAAAUCCAAAAGAUAUGGAAUGGAGUAGUGGAAAGAUGUGAGUAAAGAUUGUCUAGGUGGGAGUCUCAAUAUAUAUCAAGAGGUGGUAGAUUAGUGUUGAUCAACUCAGUUUUGGAUGCAUUACCAACUUACUUGAUGUCAGUUUUUCCCCUUCCUGCAAAGGUGGAAGAAAGAAUUGAUGCUCUGAGAAGUAACUUUUUGUGGCACGAUGAGAAGCAAUAUAAAGGUUUCCACCAAGUCAAAUGGAAGAUAUUGCUACUUUCCAAGAAGCAGGGAGGACUGGCCAUCAAAAAUCUUAGGAAGCAAAACAUAAGUCUUCUCAUGAAGUGGUUAUGAAGAUUUCUUUUAGAAGGACAAUCUUUGUGGGGUAGGGUAAUCCAAGCCAAAUAUGGGAAGGAAGGACCCUGGAAGACUAAGGAAGUGACAUCCACAUAUGGAACCAGUUUGUGGAGAUCAAUUAGUAACUUAUGGCAUGGCUUCUAUGCAAAGACAUAAUGUAAUGUGAACAAUGGGAGGAAGAUCAGGUUUUGGGAAGAUAACUAGUUAGGGAAUGGAAGUCUCAAACGCUUGUUCCCAGAUAUUCAUCACAUGAACCAACAACAAGAGUCGACUCUUUAUGAAGUUUGGUCCGAACAUGGAUGGAACCUUACCUAUAGAAGAUUGAUGCAAGACUGGGAGGUGUAGAGAUUGGCUGAAUUUUAUGGAACACUUGAUCAAUUCUUAGGAUUCAAGGAAGGAGAAGACACUCUUACAUGGAAUUGUCAUAACAAAGGAUUAUUCACUGUUAGUUCUGCAUAUAGAAAUAUGAAUUAGAUGGGAUCUCAAGUUAACUUUCUGCCUUGGAAGCUUAUAUGGAAGGUUAAAAUACCAUAUAAAGUGGUAGUUUUUACUUGGUUGGUAGUGAAAGAGGUUGUACAAGAGAAUCUUAUGAAGAGGGGAAUACAGAUGUGCCCAAGAUGUUUUUAUGAGCAGGUUGCAGAGACAAUUAACCAUCUGUUCUUACAUUGUAAAGUGGUUGGCCAGCUGUGGAAUUUGUUUACUAGCUUCAGAGAUAUAAGUUAGACUAUUCCAGAGAGAACAGGACAGACUCUAGAAAGCUGGAAUAUGCCCUGCUGGAAUAUGGAGGGCAGUGCACAAACAAGAGUGGAUGGAAAAUUGUCUCAGUAGUUAUUUGGUGGACCAUAUGGAAAGAAAGGAAUUCUAGGAGUUUUGAUAACAAGAGCUGCCCUUUGCACAAGAUUAAGAUGAACUGCAUUAUCGCUUUUUGCUAUUGGUGUAGUUCAGAGUAUAUAGAUGACCAUGUGGCUAUUGUAGACAUUCUAGGGUCCUCAUAAAGAUGAAGGAGGAUCUAGGAUAGUUUUCUUUUUUCUUUAUCUUUUGUUUAUGCCAGACACACCAGUGUGGAGGGAGGCUAUGAUGUAAAUUUUUGGAUACCAGCUUUGAGCUGAUGAUUGAUAUGCAAAUGUUACCUUUAUAAAAAAAAUAAAAAAAAAGAAUACCACAUUGAGCUGUAGCGUGUAUUGAACUAUCAUGUAGGUGUUUUUUGUUUCGAAGCAUGACUACCAAACGAGUUUUGACUGAAAAAAAGUUCAGCCUGCUAAAGACAGGUAAUGCUAAUAGGAUAGAAUUGUAUCUGUUUAUGUGGAUCCAAAGAGCAUAAUACUCAAUCAGAAUGAUUACUGUUAGUAUUUCCAGAAAA